rnacentral:rRNA from 1 species
AUAGAAUUAUUGCUGCGGUUAAAAAGCUCGUAGUUGGAUCUGUGCGACGGGAGUCGGUCCAGCCUCACGGCUGCGCUACUGACCACCCGCGCUUUCCGGUCGGUUUUCGCGUCGUGGCUUUCAUCGGCUGCGGCGCGUGGCUGACGAGUUUACUUUGAACAAAUCAGAGUGCUUAACACAGGCGUUUCGCUUGAAUGUUCUUGCAUGGAAUAAUAGAAGAGGAUCGCGGUCCGAUUUUAUUGGUUUUAUGGACUGAGAUAAUGGUUAACAGAGACAAACGGGGGCAUUCGUACCGCUGCGUGAGAGGUGAAAUUCUUGGACCGCAGCGAGACGAACUACAG